CGGGGCAGCCCCGUCGCGCCGGGUGCCGCCUCCCCGCUCCCCGCCCGCCAGCCGGCCGCGCCCUCGCGUCUGAGUGGCACCUUCGGCGGCGCCCAGGUCUGGCUUUGCCUUGGACAAAACAAGCCUCCUCCUCUAGAUGCUCAAAUUUCCAAACCGGACCCACAUGGUGCAGAAACAAUACCUCGUCCUUCAAGAUGUCACCGCUCCUGCUGAUUGCCUCAGCUCCCCCCGACUCCUUGCCCCGGCCACGUAGAGCUUCAUCCUAUCCCAUGGAAAGGCUCACACAUAAGAGGACAACCCAGCUAGUGUGGUGGCUCAUGCCUGUACUAAUUCCAGUACUUUGGGAGGCCGAGGUGGGCAGAUCGCGAGGUCAGGAGUUCCAGACCAGCCUGGCCAAUAUGGUGAAACCCUGUCUCCACUAAAAAUACAAGAAUUAGCCUGGCGUGGUGGCGUGUGCCUAUAGUCCCAGUUAUUCAGGAGGCUGAGGCAGAAAAAUUGCUUUUACCUGGGAGGUGGAGGUUGCUUGCAGUUAGCUGAGAUCAAGCCACUGCACUCCAGCCUGGGUGACAGAGUGAGACUCCAUCUACAAAAAAAAAAAGGACAAGGACAACCCAGCCUACACAUCUAAGUGAUAUCACACCCCUCAAAAAAGCCACCCCUUGGUGAUUCCUCGGGCCAGGGGCCAGCCUUGGAAGAUGAGGUCUGGAAGCGGCAAGGCAGUCAGGACCAGGGUUCCAGGUGCUCAGAGAGUAUGGAACUCCUUGCCCCAUGGGGAGGGGGGAUGCUAGAGGGGACCUUCUACACCAGACAGGAAUGCCUCUCUGCCAGAUCUCACAGCAAGAGUUAUGAAUUCCAGUUGCAAACCCAAGUCUUUUUUCUCUGUGUGCUCUACUGUGACACUGAAUUACAUCAAUCACCUCAGGUAAGACAUAAUAGUAUGUUUUAUCCACCAACAAAAUGACUAACUCACUGUCAACUUCUAAGCUAUCAUUUAACUUCAAUUAAAGCUAAUUUUCACACUAUGUAUAACCUACUUAUCUACAUAUGUCAAUAAUGCAUAUCACCACUCAGCAUCUAGGACAUCAGAUACUUGGCAUGCAUUGCUGUUUUAUUAACAUUUGAGCACCAGUAAUGUGCUAGGCACAACCUGGAAGACAGAAUUAGACAAAGAUCUGCCAAUUAGUCUAAACCAAACUGUGUCAACAAACCAUAAUCAAAGUAAGCCAUC
rnacentral:lncRNA from 1 species